rnacentral:rRNA from 1 species
ACGGGGCCCGCGACAAGCGGUGGAGCAUGUGGUUAAUUCGAAGCAACGACGAAGAACCUUACCAGGCCUUGACAUGCAGAGAACUUUACCAGAGAUGGAUUGGUGCCUUCGGGAACUCUGACACAGGUGCUGCAUGGCUGUCGUCAGCUCGUGUCGUGAGAUGUUGGGUUAAGUCCCGUAACGAGCGCAACCCUUGUCCUUAGUUACCAGCACGUUAUGGUGGGCACUCUAAGGAGACUGCCGGUGACAAACCGGAGGAAGGUGGGGGAUGACGUCAAGUCAUCAUGGCCCUUACGGCCUGGGCUACACACGUGCUACAAUGGUCGGUACAAAGGGUUGCCAAGCCGCGAGGUGGAGCUAAUCCCAUAAAACCGAUCGUAGUCCGGAUCGCAGUCUGCAACUCGACUGCGUGAAGUCGGAAUCGCUAGUAAUCGUGAAUCAGAAUGUCACGGUGAAUACGUUCCCGGGCCUU